AGCGAACGCUGGCGGCAGGCUUAACACAUGCAAGUCGAGCGGGCACUUUCGGGUGUCAGCGGUGGACGGGUGAGUAACGCGUGGGAACGUGCCCUCUGGUUCGGAAUAACUCAGGGAAACUUGAGCUAAUACCGGAUACGCCCUUUUGGGGAAAGGCUUGCUGCCGGAGGAUCGGCCCGCGUCUGAUUAGCUAGUUGGUGAGGUAACGGCUCACCAAGGCGACGAUCAGUAGCUGGUCUGAGAGGAUGAUCAGCCACACUGGGACUGAGACACGGCCCAGACUCCUACGGGAGGCAGCAGUGGGGAAUAUUGGACAAUGGGCGCAAGCCUGAUCCAGCCAUGCCGCGUGAGUGAUGAAGGCCUUAGGGUUGUAAAGCUCUUUUAUCCGGGACGAUAAUGACGGUACCGGAGGAAUAAGCCCCGGCUAACUUCGUG
rnacentral:rRNA from 1 species